rnacentral:rRNA from 1 species
UACGUAGGGUGCGAGCGUUUGUCCGGAAUUAUUGGGCGUAAAGAGCUCGUAGGCGGCCCGCUAAGUCGAACGUGAAAUCCCCGGGCUCAACCCGGGAACUGCGUCCGAUACUGGUGGGCUUGAAUCCGGGAGAGGGAUGGCGGAAUUCCAGGUGUAGCGGUGAAAUGCGUAGAUAUCUGGAGGAACACCGGUGGCGAAGGCGGCAUCCUGGACCAAUAUUGACGCUGAGGAGCGAAAGCCAGGGGAGCAAACGGG